CCUACGGGUGGCAGCAGUGGGGAAUAUUGCACAAUGGGGGAAACCCUGAUGCAGCGACGCCGCGUGAGUGAAGAAGUAUUUCGGUACGUAAAGCUCUAUCAGCAGGGACGAAAAUGACGGUACCUGACUAAGAAGCCCCGUCUAACUACGUGCCAGCAGCCGUGGUACUACGUAGGGGGCAAGCGUUAUCCGGAUUUACUGGGUGUAAAGGGAGCGUAGACGGCAGCGCAAGUCUGGAGUGAAAUGCCAUGGCUUAACCAUGGAACUUCUUUGGAAACUGUGCAGCUAGAGUGCAGGAGAGUUAAGCGGAAUGCCUAGUGUAGCGGUGAAAUGCGUAGAUAUUAGGAGGAACACCAGUGGCGAAGGCGGCUUACUGGACUGUAACUGACGUUGAGGCUCGAAAGCGUGGGGAGCAAACAGGAUUAGAUACCCUGGUAGUC
rnacentral:rRNA from 1 species